rnacentral:rRNA from 1 species
UACGUAGGCAGCGAGCGUUGUUCGGAGUUACUGGGCGUAAAGGGUGUGUAGGCGGUUUUCUAAGUUUGGUGUGAAAUCUCCCCGGCUCAACCGGGAGGGUGCGCCGAAAACUGGGAGACUAGAGUGCGGGAUGGGAGAGUAGAAUUCCUGGUGUAGCGGUGAAAUGCGUAGAUAUCAGGAGGAAUACCGGUGGUGUAGACGGCUCUCUGGACCGCCACUGACGCUGAGACACGAAAGCGUGGGUAGCAA